rnacentral:rRNA from 1 species
UACGGAGGGUGCAAACGUUGCUCGGAAUCAUUGGGCGUAAAGCGCACGUAGGCGGCCUGUUAAGUCGGAUGUGAAAGCCCAAGGCUCAACCUUGGAAGUGCAUUCGAAACUGGCGAGCUUGAAUAUGGACGAGGGUCGCGGAAUUCCCGGUGUAGAGGUGAAAUUCGUAGAUAUCGGGAGGAACACCAGUGGCGAAGGCGGCGACCUGGGCCAAUAUUGACGCUAAGGUGCGAAAGCGUGGGGAGCAAACAGG